GACGCCAAACAUCUCUUCAGAGGAGCGAAAGGGAGAACAGAAGUGAAGCUGCUCCUGUGGAGUACAAUUACCUCGAAAUUGCUGCUUUACCCUCUUGACCUGACGAGGAUUUUACCUAAAACUGCUUUCAGCCUCCCUCAGUCUGAGGCUAUGAGAGGGAGAGAGGAGUCCCAGGCCGCACCAUCAUGCUACUUCUGAGACGCCGGGAUGAGACUUUGGCUGGCAAAACACAAGGUAUUACUCUCCCACUCCUCCACCAUGCCUGUCUGCGGCCGUCGCAACCCCUCCACGCCUCGCUACCAAGCCGGGGCCUCCUCCUCCGCCCCUUUGGUCGCCCCAGAGCGAGAGAGGCGAGUCCGACCCCUCCAUCCACCCCCGCCUCCAUCGCUCCACCGCCACACCAUCGCCUCUCACUGCCUCUCCCUCCUCCUCCUGCUGCUCUGCCUUCUCCACCUGCCUCCU